rnacentral:lncRNA from 1 species
CUGACAAGAUUGAAGGGAGCGCAACCCAGGAACUGGGGGGAGAAAAAUAAAAAAAAAGGGGGGGGGGGGGGGAAGGGAGGGAGGGGGGAGCGGGCGGGCAAAGGGGUAGAGGGAGAAGUAACCCCGGCUAAAGUUUGUACAAUUAGAACCCAUCCGCUUAAAGUAGACUUUGUGCUUUCGGCUUCUCCUUUCCCUUCGCUGCGAGGAUGUGUGUUGUAAGAGGAGCAAUUUGCCCACUGGCCUGGUCUGUCCUUCCUCCCACUGUCCUGGAGACCAAGAAGGAGACUGGUGAAUUGUCCCCUCUUUUCCCAUCUGAACCUCUGGAGCUGUACCUCGUAGGAUUUUUGCAAUGUGAGGCUGGAGAGCAGGGAUGGUGAUCACAAGGAGGGAAAGGGCCACCUGAAACUUGCAAAGGUUUAGAGACAUCUGAAAUUCCUGGGCGCACUCUGCAUCAGAGAUUGGCUGCCUGCCUCUUUUGUGGGAGGAUAUAAGAGAGAACAGAGACCUUUGCGUGAAACACUUCUGUCAGCUGAAGUCAGAGAUGAAAGUCCUAUAGAAAAGAGCCUCAGACCAAAUAAAAACUUGAUUUCCUAAGAGUGACACUGCCUGCAAAUGGAGGCAGGCUAAGGUCCUCAACUGGCCGGUGCUUUGGACGCGUUCUGCUUACUUUAGUCACACAAAAUGACGUAUUGAUGUAAGCUUCCAGGAUCUAAACAGGCAGCCCUUUCAUAGGCAAAAGCCCUAAUGAAGUCACUGGCAAGCAGCCUUGCUGGCCUAGGGCCUGCAGGCUAUUUCCCCAGUCAAUACACUGGACCUAAUCUUAUAACUCUUGAGCAUCGAACUCCAUGUGUAUUUUCCGCAAGUAUUUGUUCUCUUUCUGCAAAAGUGCAAGAUCUAUGUGCUGGGGAGAGCAGUGUCAGCGAGCAGCUGCUUUUCUUUCAGUGUGAGUUGUUUGGGAUAUAGACUACAUCUGCUACUGGUUGGGCAAAACCAAACCACAAAGCUGAGACGUGGAACAGCAAGAACCUGGACUGACAAAUAAAAAUCUCCCCUUGUAAGUGCACAUUUGAACACAAAACAAAAAACAGUUAAAAGCAUAAGUUUCAUAUUGAGACAAUGUAUAUUUUUACCUGGUAAGUUUCAGGCUGCUUCUAAUUUAGUGGAACACAUUAAUUGAUCUUGCAAUUCUACUGAGUCAAUGGAGCUGUCAUAGUGAAGAGUUAGUGCAAGAGCAGUCCAUCCAGUUUCUCAAUAACCAGUUGAAUUUGUUUUUCUCAUUUCUGAGAGUCUUAGAAAUAUAAACUGGAAUGACAGCAUCAUUUAUUUCUAUGGCUCCAAAGCUGUCAUCAAACAUGACACUGACAUGUAAAAAUCCAUGUUUUAUUUUAUGCUUUAUUUUAGGUGAGGAAGCUGCAGACUUUCUUUUCCCAAAUUUCUAAAUAAAGUUUUGCCAUGACAAAUAUGAUGCCCAUGCAAAAAAAGAAAAGGAAGCUUUUAUAGUUGAAAAUUUUCUGUCUACUUCUCCACACUCCCCAGAAAAUGAUAGAAUGAAUACAAUCCUUCUAACUAAGCUAAAAUUUCCUUUUUCUCUUUAUUUCUCUUCUCUUUCUUUCUUUUAUUUUCCUUCCUUCCUUCCUUCCUUCCUUCCUUCCUUCCUUCCUUCCUUCCUUCCUUCCUUCCUUCCUCUCUUUCUCUCUUUCUUUAUCCCUCUCUUUAUCUUUCUCUCUUUCUUUCUCUUUUCUCUCUUUUCUCUCUUUCUCUUUCUCUUUUCUCUCUCUCUCUCUCUCUUUCUCUUUCUCUCUCUCUCUCUCUCUCUUCCUCUUCCUCUUCCUCUUCCUCUUCCUCUUCCUCUUCCUCUUCCUCUCUCUUUCUCUUUCUCUUUCUCUUUCUCUUUCUCUUUCUCUUUCUCUUUCUCUUUCUCUUUCUCUUUCUCUUUCUCUUUCUCUUUCUCUUUCUCUUUCUCUUUCUCUUUCUCUUUCUCUUUCUCUUUCUCUUUCCUUCUUUCUUAAAAAAAAAAAAAAAAAAAAAAAAGGCUUUUGCCUCUGUCUGUCUCAACCUUUGAUUCCUUCAGAUCCAGACUAAGGCCACAGGUGGGCUCACAGCUCAGCCUGACACAGAACUGGAAGCGCAGCACCUUGCAUAUAUAUGCACUUUGACAGAGAAUGGUAACACUGUGAAAAAUGCCACAAGUAGGUCCUAUAGGUACCAUGAAGCAAUUCUCUAAAAGAGGAAUGAGACACCUUUUUACAGGCUGGAUGUCCUGUACAAAUUGCAACAGAGGCAGUGGUUUUGUGAGAGAGAAGUUUGGAGUCUCAAGCACAGGCACUGAAAUCGUGGCCCUUAUUAAACUGUCUCUUUGGGAAGUGACCUCCUUCAAGACUCUGCAUCUGUGUCAUUGUCACACCUGAUACGCUAUAAAUAAAUCUAUGAUGUUAGAUGCCAAUCAACUGAUCUCAGAUCCUUAUCACAACAAACUUACAGUGCCUUAUUCAAUGUAUUCAAGGAGUUAUCUUUCUGCCUCUUAUUUUAAGAUGAAACCAAUCCAUUGUAACAAGAAGUCACUUAUAGAGUGAAAAUAUAAGUUCAAAGGUUAAACAUAUGAGACUCUUGCCAUUGAAGACACCAGUGUGAAAAGGUGCUCCGUUCUUAUGGAGCUCUGCUGAGGAGGUAGGAGAGGAUUUUCCUUGUGCUUACCACAGGAGUUGUGCAUAGUUUAAUUAACAUGUAUUAUCAUAUUAAGGAUUUUCUUUUUCAUAUUAAAGCCAAGUACUCCACUUGAGACUGGGGCAAUCAUGCACUCAAAUCUGUGUCACAGCCCUGCUGGCAGUCAGAGCUUCUGCAAUAACAUCGGAUGGCAGAGUCAGAGUUCAGGAAAGCAAGAAAAACAUUCUGAAGAGCUGAAAACAUCAAGCACUCAUUCAGGAUUCAUAUGUGCAAAUCUAUCUACGUUCAGUCGGCAUGCAUGAGGUGAAAAAUGUCAUCAUUUUCUUUUUCAUUUGUUUUUAUUUUUUCCCUUAUUUAUUUAUUUUUUUCCAUUUUAUCGGCACUGCUGAGAGAAGUCUUCCUUACAAUGGGAAAAAAUAAACAACAAACCAUGUGAGAUGCAAAUAGGGAAGGGGGGGGGGGGGGGAGAGAUGAACCAUUUUCUCAACCAACCUGAGCACAGUAUUUUGUUCAGUGUAAUACAUUUUGUAGAAACAGUUGGAAAGAGUUGGUGUAGACACGUCAUUCUUUCAUGCCUCCUUUCUAAAAGUUCUGACUAGGUCAGGAAUUGCUAUAGAUGAGGGAAAUUCUGCUUACCACGUAACUGAGCUGGGGCAAUGAGAACAUGGUGACCAUGAUCUUCCAAGGUCUAAAGUCAGCAGAGCAGCUGCAGCAGAGGAGCAGCGUUUCCUGCCUCAUGGGCUGACCCAUGUACUGAGGCUGUGUGUGGGCACAAGGCAGGUGUGCCCAUGUGAAGGUGAAGGCUGCUUGAGGCGUGUGCAAGAAAGAAGUUGUUGCACCGGGGGGAGUUUAGUUUAGCACAGCUUGAAUUUAAAUAGACUUCAGACCAAUCUCCCCUGAAAAACAUGAAAGAAAUCAAACAUGGAAUAUAUCUGCUGAUGAAACUUCUGUGGGUGGUAGUUUCAGUGGCUCCUUUCAGCACAGGUGUGCUCCAUCACUGCUUCAGUAUGUAGUCAAAAUUGUAUCCUUUUUCUGAGAGUUAGCUUCCUAAACAUUCUGCAGUGCAAUUUGUAUUCCAGUUCUUCUCUAUCCUCUUCCUGCCAUGAAUAUGUUCCUCUGCUCUUCAGUGUUCUCUCCUUUGCACACGCUUCCUUGGAUCUUCUGCCCCUGUCCCAGCCUGGCUGAUGCCUCUGACUCCCUUGCACCUGAGCUGUAAUGGAAAUAACAGCUUUGCUUAGAAGAAUCCAAAACCAUGGUGGUUGAAGUCUUGAAUCUUCCUGGAUGAGGAAGGAGGAGCAUGUAACCUCACAUUACUUGAGAGCUAUUUGCAGCUGUAGGUCACGGAGUUUGCACAGCACCUGCCUAGCAUGCUCUUCACAUGCUGGAAGUAGCACUUCAGUGGUGCAAAGUCAGAGACUCUUAACAAUGAAGCAAGGGACAGAUGUGAUACUUCCAUGCACCUGUAAGAACGUCACACGUGAAACCAUCCCAGUUUUUGCUAAGUCAGUGGCAGAGCUGCAGAGACUAGUUACCUGGGUUUGACAAGGCAGCAAACAGAUUGCUACAGCUCUGAGAAACAAGGUGAUAAUACAGUGCCAUAAUUUCUGUUUAAAUACACUUCUGAAUUGCUACUGCAUUGCACAGAAUCAAAAAAUGGCUUGGAUUGGAAGGGACCUUGAAGCCCAUCCAGUUCCCACCCCCUGCCAUAAGCAGGGUUGCCACUCACUAGAUCAGGCUGUGUUUCUCUGACAACAUGCAGGAAGGAAAAUAUUUCAAUUUAUAAAAGAAAAAUAAAACAAGCAAACAGGUUGCUAGACCCCGCUAACAGCAUUAGAACAAAUUCAGUUGUAUCAGGUCUUCCUCUGGGUCAAGAUCUUUCUCCAUCUUAAGGCCAAAGAUGCAUCUAAGCAUAGCCUGUCAGCCGAAGGACAAACAUAAGCAAGGCACUGACAUGUCAUCAUCAAUUUCCCACUCUCUCCAGAUUGUUUCUGUCCAUCCCGUGCUCUUCAAAUGGCAGUGCAGAGCCCAUAUGCUGCAGUGUCGGGGCAAAGCUCCCAGCACAGCAUCUGGUCAGGAGGCGGUUGGUGUGUCAGCUUUGGGGCGGCUGUGGCUUUUGUCAUGUAUUUUGGGCUGGUGAUGGGACUGCCCUGUCACCCCGCACACCACUUUCUCUUGACUCCCGUUGGAUUCCAAGGAAUUGGCCCGUUUGUGUUUGUCAAUACGCUCCUGCUUAAAUCCCUUGUGAGAUCUCUAUACAGCCCCCGAUUUAUGGUGAAAUAAUGAGAAUUUCUUAAUGUCUGCAUGUGUGUUUUUGACAGAAGCAUGUGGGUUUACCUUAAAAUGGACCGCGGCCUAGUAGGUACAGGUCACUGUGUACUGGGAUUUCAUUCCCAGAAAACUCUUGAAUGCUCUUUGAAAAGGCCCCCUUUUUUUUUCCUUGCUCAUGAGUGUAUCAGCCACUUCUUGAUGAAUAGGAUCCAUAAUGCCCGGAGAUAUUUGAAAUCAAGCAUAUGGUCCAUUGAAUAUGCAUGUAAGCAGGCAGGGAGGGAGCUCGUGUGUGAUACUAGCAAAGCGUGUCUGGAAGUUCAGCAGAGCAGAAGUCGAACUGAGCAUUUCAGCAUGCUUUAGGAAGCAUAACUUUCUGUUUCCUCUGGUAAACUAGGUAAUAGAACACAGUCAAAAGCAUACCUGGGGGUUUUAACAACUCAGAUAUUUGGUUAUAAACAGAAUUAUGCUGUUUUGCUUCUUUUGUAAAAUGCUUAUUUUUACAAUAAAAAUAUAAAGACCAUCAAGUCUGAAGUUGUUAAAAAAUACAUAUAGAUAACUUCUUCAACUGAGAAAUGGUCAAUUCUUCACUAGGGAAGAAUCUCAGAUGACUCUUCUUCGCAUUUAAAUGAAAAGAGUGCUUGGAGAAUGUGCAUUCUGGUCUUCAUGUUCUUCCUGAAGAUUUGAUUAAAGUUACACGAUUGCAGAAAUCAUGUGUUAGACGCUGGGCAAAUAAACAGGGCUGGCUGGAAGCCUGCUCAGCUGCCUUAUGGCAACGGCUAUGUUCAGUAGUGGAGGAAGACACACGAAGGCUCAAACCGCAGUGGUGUUUCUGAGUUGAUCCCUUCUCUAAUUUGUCCUUCCUGUAUCCUUGCAGCCCUCUUUGUGCCUGCCAUCAUGUGGAAGGUGCUUCAGAAGAGCUAGUAUUUAUGUUAUCCUGAGGCCCUAACCACCCAAAUCCCCCCCAUUGCUGAGUUCUACUACCCACUUUCUGGGUGAAGUGGAGCAACCUUUUUUGCACUACAAAUGAAGUAUCCAUAAGGACCAAAGUCGGGGUGGGAUUUUCCAGCAAAGAACAUGCUUCUCAUGUAUAGAAGAGAGCACAGAGACUUCUGUUCUGUGAGAUAAUUUUUCCUGGUACAUGGUGUAGAGUCAAGGCCGAUACUUCUCAGUGCUGGUGCUGGAUUUCCACUAAUUUUGCAUCAGGGUCUUCCUCUGAAUCCCCCGUGGGAGCUGUCUGGUACUGCUUAAAGGGAUGGUGUUUUUUGUAAUUAUUUAAUGAAUGUUCCAGGUUUUUAUCCUGUGCUUGUUAAACCUUCAUUCCAGUGAAAGUGUAAUCCCAUAUUACUGAAUUUGGAUAAAAAGUGAUCGAGAAUAAACAUUAAUUCCUCAGUAAAGACAUUGGAGUAAAUAUGAUUAGCCUAAUUUUAGUUUUUCUGGUUUGAAAAUAUAGACCCAAGUGCAGAACUGAGCAUUUUGAUUAGAUUAAAAACAUUUAAAAGUAACACAGCAUGCAAAGGGGGCCGUGAGUCUCCAUUAGACUUGUUAUGUUGGCUUAGAAACUUCAUGGGGUAUCUCUUUCUCCAGUGAAUUCUAGGAAAAAUCUCUGUUAAUUAUUAUCAGUUUCUUUCUUCAAUUCCAAUUUUUGAAUAUUUUUUUUUUUUUUGAAUAAGGAAGUGACAGUGAAUUGGAGCAUCUUUAAUUUAAACAAGUUUUUUUUAGCCCUUAGCUGAUGUUGUUGUAUGCUCUCUCCUUAAUCCCUCUGUGAGUUUCCUCCUGCUUUGUGAGACACAGGAGUCCCAACAUUAAAAAAAUAAAAUAAAAUAAAAUAAAAUAAAAUAUAAAAUAAAUAAAAUAAAAUAAAAUAAAUAAAAUAAAAAGUAAAAAAUAAAAAGAAAGCUGAAGCCUAUUUCAGGUUACUAUCUUCUUAUUCCUUCUUUCUAGUUCUCUUUACCUACACAGUCAGCCAUGAAUACUGCACCUUCAUUUAAAUUUUCAGCCAUUGAAUCAUGAUCACUUGAAGACCCAGGAACCCUGGAUGUAACUCAAGGGGUUAUGCUGUUUUUACUGUUUGGCACCUGCUCAGGAAAGGGAACUUAGCUUAGCAGUUAAAGCAUA